AUGAUGCCCAAACGUGGUGUCGAGGCCUUCCACAUCCCCACCCAAGCUGCGUCACUACCAAGCUGCUACAAGCAUACAGGGCCUUCCGUGUUCAAGCUGAAAAGGCAAGAAGAUCUCAUUAUUAACAUGGAUAAAAAAGGUGGAACGUCUUCUUCAGUAGAAUUACACAAUGGUUGGCUGAAGCUUUGGAGUGCUAAAGUUCCAAGAAAGGUAAAAAUCCAUCUUUGGUGUAUUUAUUUUCAGAGAAUUUAUGUUGGAGAUGAGCUUAAGAGAAGAAAGUAUAUAGAUAUGGUAAGUUGUCCUUACUGCUUCAAGGGGGAAGCAUUUAUCACUGCUUUUGGGGUUGUAUUUAUGUCAGAUUCCUGGAGGAAGCUGUUAGUAAUUUGCGAUUUCUCGUGA
rnacentral:rRNA from 1 species